rnacentral:tRNA from 1 species
CCCUGGUGGCUCAAAUGGUGAAGAGUCUGCCUGCAAUGCAGGAGACCCAGGUUCCAUCCCUGGGUCAGGAA